UUUUCAACUGCAAAAUUCCAAGUGGAUAGAACACCGCCUGAAGGAGGCCACGUAUGGGAUGGAAUGACAGAUGUUGAUGCUGAUUUUCAAAAAGACUCUGAUCAAAUAAGAUGUCAAUGGAAAGACUUCUUUGACCACCAUUCCGAUAUCAUGCACUACAUGGUUUCGCUUGGCUCUAGCCGUUACGAUCAUGAUGUGGCAGCGAGUGUAAACGUUGGCUUACAAACAAGUCACAUUUGGUAUUUGCCAUUAGCAACAGGUAGAAAAUAUUACUGCAAUGUAAUGGCUUGUAAUAGAGCUGGACUAUGCAGCAGUCGAUCUUCAAAUGGUAUUAUACUAGACAAAUCGCCACCUAUACCUGGAA